rnacentral:rRNA from 1 species
AUACGGAGGGUGCAAGCGUUGUUCGGAAUUACUGGGCGUAAAGCGCGCGUAGGCGGUCUGUUAUGUCAGAUGUGAAAGUCCUCGGCUCAACCGGGGAAGUGCAUUUGAAACUGGCAGACUUGAGUACUGGAGGGGGUGGUGGAAUUCCCGGUGUAGAGGUGAAAUUCGUAGAUAUCGGGAGGAAUACCGGUGGCGAAGGCGACCACCUGGCCAGAUACUGACGCUGAGGUGCGAAAGCGUGGGGAGCAAACAGGAUUAGAAACCCGUGUAGUCC